ACAACAUAGACAUAACAACAGUCAAAAGAAAGAUUAAAAGGAAAAAAAAAAACAGCUUGGAAGGGAGUGGGAUGAAGACAAGCUUAUUUACUCCCACCCCCAAAUCAGUCCUUAAUAAAUUAGAAGGUUGCCAUCAUUUACAGCUUCAUAAUAGAAAAGGAGAAAGAAAAAAAAAAAAAACA